CUCUGGGCGAGAGGCGGAGUACACCCUGAACUGAUCGUCAGCCAAUAACAGGGCACAAACAACCAUUUGCACCUAUGGACAAUUAAGAGAAGCUGAUGUCCACAAAAUUAACCACAAAAUGACAGAAUGGUGUUUCCACGUCAACCUGCCUCAGCUUCACCUUCACGAGCAGCGACAUCUUGGACAAAGUAUCAGGGAGGUUUCGGGCCGACAGCCGACAGACUUCUGGGAAAGGCGGACGGGACGCCGACCUGCGUUUGGACACGUAGUCAAUGUUAAGCAACAGACAUGAAAUCACAAAGGAAACCCAAGUCGAAGUCUGAUGACAUCAGCAACAGUCUCCUCGUCGCUGGCUGGUGAAGUGGUCGGCCAGUGUGACGUGGACCGGUGUACGGGCCUAAGACAACAAGACAUCCGUGGAGGAUCUUUCUGGCCGAGUCCCCGAUGGCACUUGGACUGGAAGUCAAAAGGAAAAAGCAGGCGAGGGCACUUCAAACUUAAAUUUGCUGAGCUUGUUUUGUAGCGUACGUCACCUCAACAUGUUGGACAGAAAGUUGACCAUGACGCCAUGUUUCCACCACCUACAACAAGAAACCAAGUAUUUGGAUUCAUCAAGUUUGCCAACGGUUCCAACCUUGAUUGAAAUUGACUUCAGGAGAUCAGGGAUCCUUCAGCGCCACCUGGUGGAUGUGAGCAUGAAGAACAUGCAAGUGUCCAGGACCAAGAAGCUCCCAUUGACUUCAUACAAGAGGCUGUCGUGACUACAGCCAAAACACAUCGAGAGGCCACCGAUGGAAAGUCAUCUCAGGUAGACUGGAACCUUCUGCUUGAACAAGUACAGUCUUGUAUCAAACGACUGAGGCCUUCUGAGUGGACUGGUGGCGCGAGACUUCUCCAGGAGAUCUGAAACCAAGAGAUGAACGAGGGACCAGUCAAGCUGCUGUUUACAGGUGGAGGAUCUUGGUGGCCGAGUCCCCCGAUGGCACUUGGACUGGAACCCGACCUGCAUGUGGAGUCAAAGAAAAAGCAGGUCCCAAGCUUCGAGAUCUACUUCACCAGUUGAUCCAUGACCAGGUUCUCCAGGAAUUCUUUGGCGCCACUUGGUGGACGUGAGCAGCAAGAACAUGCUUGUGUCCCAGGAGCGUGCAGGAAGUCAGGAGGCUGUCGUGACUGCAGACAAACAAAAACUACAGGGACUGCUGGAAGGUCAUCUCCAGGACACCUGAAAACGAGAUGAGUGAGGGACCAGUCAAGCUGCCGUUUAGCUCAGGAUCUUGCUGGCAGAGUCUCCGAUGGCACUUGGACUGGGAACUGACCUGCAUGUGGAGUCAAAGAAAAACCAGGAAGUUGAUCAUGACGCCAUGUUUCCACCACCUGGAACAACAAAUGAUAAAUUCAUUCAAGUCUGUCUUUCCAACUGGUCCAAGCUUUGAGAUAGACUUCACCAGUUCAUCCAUGAUCAGGUACUCCAGGAAUUCUUUGGCGCCACCUGGUGGACGUGAGCAGCUAGAACAUGCUCGUGUCCGGGAGCGAGAAGGUAAAGAACUUGAGGGUUCUGGCUGCCGCACAUCUCAGAGUGCAACUUUGGGGGAACUGCAGGAGAACAAUGUUAAAAACCUAUGUCAGCCAUUUUGGCUUGUUCCUCAGCUCUCCGUUAAGUCGAAGCAGUCAUCACUGCUGGAAAGUCAUCUCUGGCGUCCUUACCCUCCUUCAGUCCAUCAGAUUCUUCCUGGGUUGAUACAAAAGCACCACAACAUUAAACGUUAACCCCAACAUUUGGUGUUGCCAUCGAGUGCAUGUUCCCACCUGAACUGUGAUGACGCCGCUGGAGGCUGCCUGGUCAGCUCGUGCUGAAAAAAAAAAAAGUCACUUUUGUAUUUUUACAUGUAUGAAAGUUUGUCUCACCAGUGAGGCGAGCAGGCCGCAGCCGGACGCCUCGUCAGCGACGGCCUGAAAGACACGACAACACGGUUAGCGUUCGACGUCUCCCAAUUCAGCCCCACGAGCCAGUUUGACUUCGCAACGGGACAAUUGAGCGAGGAGUUUAUCAGUAGGCCCACAAAAGUCUCAAGAGGCCUGCCCCGAAAGUCACAGGAAGUCAGCCAUUUUGUUGAAGAUUUGAACCUGUAAUCAGAAAUGAGAAUUAACCCUAAGACCAUUACUUGAUCUGUUUAAUAAAGGAUAUGCGGUGUAGAGAAACAGGAAUUCAAUCCAUUUGGCCAUUCGGUUGAAGAUUAAAACCUAUGAACAGAAAAGAGAAACGGAUGAAUAAUUCGGUUUCAUUUAGAAUAAAAAAAUAAAAAGUCAGGCAUU